rnacentral:rRNA from 1 species
GUGGGGAAUAUUGGACAAUGGGCGAAAGCCUGAUCCAGCCAUGCCGCGUGUGUGAAGAAGGUCUUCGGAUUGUAAAGCACUUUAAGUUGGGAGGAAGGGUAGUAACCUAAUACGUUGCUACUUUGACGUUACCGACAGAAUAAGCACCGGCUAACUUCGUGCCAGCAGCCGCGGUAAUACGAAGGGUGCAAGCGUUAAUCGGAAUUACUGGGCGUAAAGCGCGCGUAGGAGGUUCAGUAAGUUGGAAGUGAAAUCCCCGGGCUCAACCUGGGAACUGCUUUCAAAACUGCUGAGCUAGAGUACGGUAGAGGGUGGUGGAAUUUGCUGUGGAGCGGUGAAAUGCGUAGAUAUAGGAAGGAACACCAGUGGCGAAGGCGACCACCUGGACUGAUACUGACACUGAGGUGCGAAAGCGUGGGGAGCAAACAGGAUUAGAAACCCCGGUAGUCC